UACGUAGGGAGCAAGCGUUGUCCGGAAUCAUUGGGCGUAAAGCGCGCGUAGGUGGCUUCGUAAGUCCGUUGUGAAAGUCAAAGGCUCAACCUUUGAAAGCCGAUGGAUACUGUGGAGCUAGAGUACGGAAGAGGCGAGUGGAAUUCCUGGUGUAGCGGUGGAAUGCGCAGAUAUCAGGAGGAACACCAAUAGCGAAGGCAGCUCGCUGGGACGUUACUGACACUGAGGCGCGAAAGCGUGGGGAGGCGAAUGGG
rnacentral:rRNA from 1 species